rnacentral:misc_RNA from 1 species
AAUUCUCAACUUCUCAACGGUUGUCAUGACCGCUGUUAAGCUUGGAUGUGAGGGUUUUGCUGGCUUUCACGAGUCAGCUCCCUUGAAAAUCAUUAGCGCAGCUUAUGCAAAUCGCUUGGUGUGAUAAUUUAUCUACUUUGUGACGCGCAUGAUUCAAGCUUUGUGCUUCGAACCGUCUUCUCCGAAGACAAUUAUUUUUUGA